rnacentral:lncRNA from 1 species
CAGCUACUCAGGAGGCUGAGGCAGGAGAGUCACUUGAGCCCGGGAGGCAGAGCUUGCAGUGAGCCAAGAUUGUGCCACUGCACUCCAGCCUGGGCAACAGAGCAAGACUCCAUCUCAAAAAUAAAUAAAUAAUUAAAUUAGAUAAACCAUCAAUUAGAUCCUAAAAACAAAGGUAGUCAAUAUUCAAAAUACAUCAAUUAUUAAUUAUCAUCCUACAUUUUACUAUAAUCUAUGCCCUUGAGGUUAUCUGUAUGUGUAUGGUAGAAAUACUAUAUGAGAGUGUGCUACUAUCCAUCUUUUCCCAGUUCCACAUCAGUGACAUCACGUUGGUAACUUAAAAUUGUGGGAAUAGUAACACCAUGGAAAUUGGCAAAUGGCACAAGCCAGGGCUUUUUGUUCCGGAGAGCAAGUGGUUAAUCAGCAUAUCACUGCUGAUGCAAUCCUUUGCCUGUUUCCCUUGAACGUACAGGUGAGUGGAUAGGAAGCUGUUUGGUGUCUGGUUGGUUGAUCGGAUGACUGGACGGAUGGGCGAUGGAUUGAUUGUAUGGCUGGAGGCUGCUUCCCUUUCUGACAGUCACUGGACCCUAAAGACCAUGUCCCCAGUGCAUGAAACAGCAGAGCAGCACGAGGAUGGCCUGACUUUAGAUGGUCAGCCAAAGGCCUAUUCUUAGCUGAAACCCAGUAUCAGUCUGCUCACUCUUGCCUAAGUAUAGGAAGUGGACAGCUUGCUUUGAGAAGUGGGGCAACAUAUCCACCUAAAUGUUGCUGGAAUAAGUAAAGCAUUCCCUGCAGAGGAAAGGGACACCUUUAUUCUCUUCGUGUCUGCAGGUGGCUUUGGUGCCAAGCUGUCCCCUGCCUGCUUCUGUUUUCACCCCCAGCCCCAGUGCUGCAGGCUGAUGGGGCUCCUUCUCCACUGACUCGCGUUUCCUCAUAUUCAUGGAGCUCUGCCGGCAGCUAGGCUGAGGGAGGAGCUGGGCAUACAGCUCUGGCCAUACAGAAGGUGCUGGUAAGAAACGGAGGCAGAGAGCAGUGCAACAGGAUGCAGAGGGACCGGCACUAUCAGGAGUGAGAGAGAAACCUUUUGAGACAAUUGCUGUUCUGGAGUAUCUCAGAAUCGAGGUCCCUUUCAACUCUCUCAUCUGUUCUGGUUUUAUGGACUGUAAGACAGAAACGUCCUCCAUGUGAGGAGUGCCUUGGAGGAGAGAGAUGGACCAUGUAAAGAUGGAGGGAGUGGCCAGGCAUGGAGGCUCAUACCUGUAAUCCCUGCACUUUGAGAGGCCAAGGUGGGUGGAUCACGAGGUGGAGAUCGAGACCAUCCUGGCCAACACGGUGAAACCCCGUCUCUACAAAAAAUACAAAAAUUAGCUGGGCAUGGUGGUGCGUGCCUGUAGUCCCAGCUACUCGGGAGGCUGAGGCAGGAGAAUCGCUCCGACCCGGGAGGCAGAAGUUGCAGCGAUCCAAUAUUGUGCCACUGCACUCCAGCCUGGUGACAGAGCAAGAUUCCAUCUCAAAAACAAACAAACAAACAAAAAAAGAUGGAGGGAGCUUUUGGAACGGAUCUUCAAGGAUGGCCAAGAGCCUUCUACAUGGAGGAAGGGUCCACUGAAUAUAACUUGCCACAUUCCAG